CCACCGAGACGCGCAGAGGACGGCUAGAGCGUUGCUCGCCGAGAGACUUCCUCUUCGUUAAGUCGGCCUUCCCAACAUGGCGCAGUCUAUUAACAUCACGGAGCUGAAUCUGCCGCAGCUAGAAAUGCUCAAGAACCAGCUGGACCAGGUGUUUGUCUUCAUUGCUUUCACAGGGAAAGAAUUACUCGUCCCACUGACGAGUUCUAUGUAUGUCCCUGGGAAGCUGCAUGAUGUGGAACACGUGCUCAUCGAUGUGGGAACUGGGUACUAUGUAGAGAAGACAGCUGAGGAUGCCAAGGACUUCUUCAAGAGGAAGAUAGAUUUUCUAACCAAGCAGAUGGAGAAAAUCCAACCAGCUCUUCAGGAGAAGCACGCCAUGAAACAGGCCGUCAUGGAAAUGAUGAGUCAGAAGAUUCAGCAGCUCACAGCCCUGGGGGCAGCUCAGGCUACUGCUAAGGCCUGAGAGUUUUUGCAGAAAUGGGGCAGAGGGACACCCUUUGGGCGUGGCUUCCUGGUGAUGGGAAGGGUCUUGUGUUUUAAUGCCAAUAAAUGUGCCAGCUGGGCAGAAUGUUGGUCUUUUCUUGGAUUAAGCAAGGGACUGGUGAUGAGAUGGGGGGUGUGGUCGAGAGUGUGGGCCCCGUCUCAGAGCCUGAUGCGCAGGGGUGAUGCGAUGCGCCUCUUGGAGGCUCCAUCGCAGGGCCCUUUGACCAGCUGGAAGAAAUCCUAGGCUGGGAGUCUGCUGCUGCUCACUCUGCAGAGCUGGUUGCCAAGGGAACGGUUGGCAAGCGGAAGUGGGGCUGCGCUGGCGCUUCCUCUUCCGGGUCGGCGCUCCUGCCUCCCUGCAGGGAGCUGCUUAUGGGACACCAAUUCCUGCGCGGCCUCUUAACGCUGCUGCUGCCGCCGCCACCCCUGUAUACCCGGCACCGCAUGCUCGGUCCAGAGUCCGUCCCGCCCCCAAAACGAUCCCGCAGCAAACUCAUGGCACCGCCCCGAAUCGGGACGCACAAUGGCACCUUCCACUGCGACGAGGCACUGGCAUGCGCACUGCUUCGCCUCCUGCCGGAGUACCGGGAUGCAGAGAUUGUGCGGACCCGGGAUCCCGAAAAACUCGCUUCCUGUGACAUCGUGGUGGACGUGGGGGGCGAGUACGACCCUCGGAGACACCGAUAUGACCAUCACCAGAGAUGUAUGAGAACUUUGUGGAGGAGGUGGAUGCUGUGGACAAUGGGAUCUCCCAGUGGGCAGAGGGGGAGCCUCGAUAUGCACUGACCACUACCCUGAGUGCACGAGUUGCUCGACUUAAUCCUACCUGGAACCACCCCGACCAAGACACUGAGGCAGGGUUCAAGCGUGCAAUGGAUCUGGUUCAAGAGGAGUUUCUGCAGAGAUUAGAUUUCUACCAACACAGCUGGCUGCCAGCCCGGGCCUUGGUGGAAGAGGCCCUUGCCCAGCGAUUCCAGGUGGACCCAAGUGGAGAGAUUGUGGAACUGGCGAAAGGUGCAUGUCCCUGGAAGGAGCAUCUCUACCACCUGGAAUCUGGGCUGUCCCCUCCAGUGGCCAUCUUCUUUGUUAUCUACACUGACCAGGCUGGACAGUGGCGAAUACAGUGUGUGCCCAAGGAGCCCCACUCAUUCCAAAGCCGGCUGCCCCUGCCAGAGCCAUGGCGGGGUCUUCGGGACGAGGCCCUGGACCAGGUCAGUGGGAUCCCUGGCUGCAUCUUCGUCCAUGCAAGCGGCUUCACUGGCGGUCACCACACCCGAGAGGGUGCCUUGAGCAUGGCCCGUGCCACCUUGGCCCAGCGCUCAUACCUCCCACAAAUCUCCUAGUCUAAUAAAACCUUCCAUCUCA
ensembl:lncRNA novel protein, readthrough PFDN5-C12orf10